UCUAAUGUCGUCCUCGACAAAAUCAGGA
rnacentral:sRNA from 1 species